AAGUCCCGCAACGAGCGCAACCCUUGUCACUAGUUGCCAUCAUUUGGUUGGGCACUCUAGUAGACUGCCGGUGACAAACCGGAGGAAGGUGGGGAUGACGUCAAGUCCUCAUGGCCCUUAUGGAUAGGGCUUCACACGUCAUACAAUGGUCGGUACAGAGGGUUGCCAAGCCGCGAGGUGGAGCCAAUCCCUUAAAGCCGAUCGUAGUCCGGAUCGUAGUCUGCAACUCGACUACGUGAAGUCGGAAUCGCUAGUAAUCGCAGAUCAGCAUGCUGCGGUGAAUACGUUCCCGGGUCUUGUACACACCGCCCGUCACACCAUGGGAGUGGGUUUCACCAGAAGUAGGUAGCUUAACCUUCGGGAGGGCGCUUACCACGGUGAGAUUCAUGACUGGGGUGAAGUCGUAACAAGGUAGCCGUA
rnacentral:rRNA from 1 species